rnacentral:rRNA from 1 species
UCGAGUAGGACGGGGCACGAGAAACCCUGUUUGAAUCUGGCUGGACCACCAGCCAAGGCUAAAUAUAAUAUACGAUCGAUAGUGAACUAGUACAGCGAUGGAAAGGUGAAAAGAACCCCGGGAGGGGAGUGAAAUAGAUCCUGAAAUUGUGUGCCUACAAAGUGUCGGAGCCGACUUGUUCGGUGACGGCGUGCUUUUUGUAGAACGAUCCAGCGAGUUAAUUUCAAGUGCAAGGUUAAGUCAGUUGACGGAGCCAUAGUGAAAGCGAGCCUGAAUAGGGCGAUUAGUACUUGGAAUUAGACCCGAAACCGGGUGACCUAACCAUGUGCAGGCUGAAGCUGCGGUAACACGCAGUGGAGGGCCGAACCAGAGUACGCUGUAAAGUGCUUGGAUGACGUGUGGUUAGCGGUGAAAUGCCAAUCGAACUCGGAGAUAGCUGGUUCUCCUCGAAAUAACUUUAGGGUUAGCGUCGUGUAGUAACAUACGGGGGUAGAGCUCUGUAAAGGACUGGGGCGGGCAACUGUACCCACCCUUAACAAACUACGAAUACCGUAUGCGGAAUCACGGCAGUUAGAACGGCGGAGCUAAGUUCGUCGCUCGAAAGGGAAACAGCCCAGACCAUCAUCUAAGGUCCCUAAAUUAACGUUCAGUGGGAAACAAGGUGAGAUUUCUUAAACAGCUAGGAUGUUGGCUUAGAAGCAGCCAUUCAUUUAAAGAGUGCGUAACAGCUCACUAGUCAAGAGAUCUUGCGUGGAAAAUGUAACGGGGCUAAACGUAAUACCGAAGACAUGGGUCUAUGCAUUAGCAUGGGCGGUAGAGGAGCGUUCCUAUCUGCGGUGAAGCUGGACUGUAAGGUACAGUGGAGCGUUAGGAAGUGAGAAUGCUGGAAUGAGUAACCAUAAGACAGGUGAGAAUCCUGUCGGCCGUAAGAGCAAGGUUUCCUGAGCUAUGGUAAUCAUCUCAGGGUUAGUCGGGCCUAAGCCGAGGCGUAUAGCGUAGGCGAUGGACAUCAGAUUAAUAUUUCUGAACCGGUUAAAUCUUGUACACUGUUCACAGGGAGUUAGUCAAAGCGGAUUAUUGGUAUAUAUCCGUCCAACCUAGCGGGAACGCAAAGGGAGUGAAAAUUACUUAGGGUAAUGAUUUUGAUGAAAGCUCUGGCUAGAAAAGCAGAUGUACUUAUGGAUUUAUCCGCCCGUACCGCAAACCAACACAGGUGCUCGAGUCGAGUAGACUAAGGCUUACGAGUGAACCUUCGCUAAGGAACUCGGCAAUACAGCGACCGUAACUUCGGAAUAAGGUCUGCCUCCACAUCAGUGGAUACAAGUAUUACUGAGCUAAGGCGUUAUAAACAAGAGUAUCUUAUUUACUUACUUUUACUGAGACACGUCUUUAGCUUAAGCUAUUUGCAUCUAGCGAUGUGGAGGCCGCAGCAAAAGAGCCCACGGAACUGUUUAUCAAAAACACAGGUCCCUGCUAACACGAAAGUGGAUGUAUAGGGGCUGACUCCUGCCCAGUGCCGGAAGGUUAAGGGGAAUGCUUAACGGUGUGAACUGAAGCCCCGGUGAACGGCGGCGGUAACUAUAACCGUCCUAAGGUAGCGAAAUUCCUUGUCAGGUAAGUUCUGACCCGCACGAAUGGAGUAAUCAUGUGGGCACUGUCUCAGCGAAGGACUCGGUGAAAGUGCAUUGGCGGUAAAGAUGCCGUCUGUCCGUACCAGGACGAAAAGACCCCAUGGAGCUUUACUACAGUUUUACAUUGACUCGAUUUACCUUAUGUGUAGCAUAGGUGGGAGACUUUGAAGCAGAUACGCCAGUAUUUGUGGAGUCACAGGUGAAAUACCACCCUUAAUGUGAAUUUAGUCUCACCAUUACCGUAAUCCGGUAAUGGGACCGUGUAUGAUGGGUAGUUUAACUGGGGCGGUUGCCUCCUAAAGAGUAGCGGAGGCGUUCAAAGG